GGACCCAUAGCUCAGCGGUAGAGCAUCUGAUUCCAGCUUAAAAAAUACCAUCUACUAGGGUCUCGGCCCCUGUAAUGUGUAAAACUGCCUCCAGAAGGUCAUCCGUUCAAAUCGGGUUGGGUUCA